rnacentral:rRNA from 1 species
UACGAAGGGGCUAGCGUUGCUCGGAAUCACUGGGCGUAAAGGGUGCGUAGGCGGGUUUUAAGUCAGAGGUGAAAUCCUGGAGCUCAACUCCAGAACUGCCUUUGAUACUGAAAGUCUUGAGUAUGGGAGAGGUGAGUGGAACUGCGAGUGUAGAGGUGAAAUUCGUAGAUAUUCGCAAGAACACCAGUGGCGAAGGCGGCUCACUGGCCCGGUACUGACGCUGAGGUGCGAAAGCGUGGGAGCAAACAGGG